GUUGGACCGAGGAGAAUGCAUUGUAAGAUGGGAGUGUUUUUUAUUGAAUCCAUGCAGCAGAAUUCACGUGCAAGUGGGUGGCAGAUAUUUCUUUUCUGUGUGCACCCCCAAAUUCAACAUGUUGCACCCCCUUCUUAUAAGCCNAAAGGAUAAAAUCACCAUAGUGCCCUUCUUGUUGUCCACACUUCUUUGUAGAGAGUUUCGAAUUGUGUGAUAACCCUCAAUAUGUCCAAAAUUAUAUUUUCAAAAUUUCCCUGAAAAUAAUAAUGCAAAUAAUAAGCCAAGAAAAUUCAAAUUAAUUAAAAUUCGAAUUUCCGGUCAGAUUUAGUAUAAUUAGAAAAAACGGGAAAAUACUGAACAAUUAAACACAAUUUCUUGAUCAAUUCUAGCACAAUAAAGUAAGUGAAUUCAAUAAAAUAUCGACUCAUUAAUCUUAUAAAACCGCCAUAUAAUAUUUAUAAACACUAUAUAAUAUUCAUAGAGUAACCAUUAUCUAAAUCACCAAUACCACCUAUAAUAUUCAUUUCAGGGUAACCAUUGUCUAAAUCACCACUGCCACCGACAACCUGGAAGGCUACCCUACACCUAUUCCUCUAUCAACGUCAGUUUCUUUCUCACACCACAAACAACUAUUUCGUAUAUCUUUCGUCACAAUAACUUACGAUUUUAAUUUUUUUGAAAAAAGAAAAAUUUUAAUCUUUGUGGUUUAAUAAUUUAUUUAUAUCACUGGCCCAAUAAUGCGUAAUUCUUUUAUCACU
rnacentral:lncRNA from 1 species